AUGUAGCUCAGUGGUAGAGCACGUGUUUAGCAUGCGCCAGGCCCUGGGUUCAAUCCCCAGUGU
rnacentral:tRNA from 1 species